GACCGGAGCAUCUGGAGGUCUUCCAACAAAUGAGACAACUUUUGCAAAAAUACUGAAAGAGAAAGGCUAUGCCACUGGACUCAUUGGUGAUGGUGGCAGGAGGUGAAGCCUUUGGGAAGUGAUGAGGUCGUGAAGGUGGAGCCUCAUGUGUGGGAUUAGUGCCCUUACAAAAGUGACUCUGGUCAGGCGCGGUGGCUCAUGCCUGUAAUCCCAGCACUUUGGGAGGCCAAGGUGGGUGGAUCGCUUGAGGCCAGGACUUUGAGACCAGCCUGG
rnacentral:lncRNA from 10 species